rnacentral:rRNA from 1 species
CACGUAGGGCGCGAGCGUUGUCCGGAAUUAUUGGGCGUAAAGAGCUCGUAGGCGGCCUGUUGCGUCCGCUGUGAAAGCCCGGGGCUUAACCCCGGGUCGGCAGUGGAUACGGGCAGGCUAGAGGUAGGUAGGGGAGAAUGGAAUUCCCGGUGUAGCGGUGAAAUGCGCAGAUAUCAGGAGGAACACCGAUGGCGAAGGCAGGUCUCUGGGCCAUAACUGACGCUGAGAAGCGAAAGCAUGGGGAGCGAACAGG